rnacentral:lncRNA from 1 species
AAAUUCGUCCUAACAUGUAAACCAUGGUGAAAAAGAGAUUCAACUAAAGAUAUAUGUAUCAAAAUUAGUAGUUUUUCCCUUAAGUUUAACAUAAGAGCAUCUGAUUACGUUAGGUACUGGAUUAUAAUAUCUAAAACUAUUAAAACAUUAUGAUUCCAUUCAAUAGGUACCUGUGAAGUUUUACAUUAACAGUAAAUUAUAAAAAAAUACAAUUUCAGUGCAA